rnacentral:rRNA from 1 species
UACGGAGGGGACUAGCGUUGUUCGGAAUUACUGGGCGUAAAGCGCGCGUAGGCGGAUUUGCAAGUCGGGGGUGAAAUCCCGAGGCUCAACCUCGGAACUGCCUUCGAUACUGCAAAUCUCGAGUCCGGAAGAGGUGAGUGGAAUUCCUAGUGUAGAGGUGAAAUUCGUAGAUAUUAGGAAGAACACCAGUGGCGAAGGCGGCUCACUGGUCCGGUACUGACGCUGAGGCGCGAAAGCCAGGGGAGCAAACGGG